UAGUAAUCGUGGAUCAGCAUGCCACGGUGAAUACGUUCCCGGGUCUUGUACACACCGCCCGUCACACCAUGGGAGCCGGUAAUACCCGAAGUCAGUAGUCUAACCGCAAGGAGGACGCUGCCGAAGGUAGGAUUGGCGACUGGGGUGAAGUCGUAACAAGGUAGC
rnacentral:rRNA from 1 species